UACGUAGGGUGCAAGCGUUGUCCGGAAUUAUUGGGCGUAAAGAGCUUGUAGGCGGUCUGUCGCGUCUGCUGUGAAAAUCCGGGGCUCAACCCCGGACUUGCAGUGGGUACGGGCAGACUAGAGUGUGGUAGGGGAGACUGGAAUUCCUGGUGUAGCGGUGAAAUGCGCAGAUAUCGGGAAGAACACCCGUGGCGAAGGCGGUUCUCUGGGACGGUACUGACGCUGAGACGCGAAAGCGUGGGGAGCGAACAGG
rnacentral:rRNA from 1 species